rnacentral:rRNA from 1 species
AAAGAUUAAGCCAUGCAUGUUUAAGUAUAAACGAUUGAAUCGUGAAACCGCGAAUGGCUCAUUAUAACAGCUAACAAAUCUACUUGAUCUUGACACAAUCCUACUUGGAUAACCGUGGUAAUUCUAGAGCUAAUACAUGCAUUAAAGCUCUGACCUUCGGGGAAGAGUGCAUUUAUUAGAACAAAACCAAGCGGCUUCGGCUGUUUUCGGUUGACUCAUAGUAACUGAGCUGAUCGCAUGGUCUUGCACCGGCGACGUGUCUUUCGAGUAUCUGCCGUAUCAACUUUCGAUGGUAGUGUAUCUGACUACCAUGGUGAUCACGCGUAACGGAGAAUAAGGGUUCGACUCCGGAGAGUUCGCCUGAGAAAUCGCGAACGCAUCUAAGGAAGGCAGCAGGCGCGAAAAUUACCCACUCUCAGCACGAGGAGGUAGUGACGAAAAAUAACGAGACCGUUCUCUUAUGAGGCCGGUCAUCGGAAUGGGUACAAUUUAAACCCUUUAACGAGUAUCUAUGAGAGGGCAAGUCUGGUGCCAGCAGCCGCGGUAAUUCCAGCUCUCAAAGUGCAUAGAAUUAUUGCUGCGGUUAAAAAGCUCGUAGUUGGAUCUGUGCCAUAGGACUGGGUCUACCUUCGGGUCAGUACUCAGCUCCUAGGCUUUUUGUCGGUUUUCCCGUCGUAGCCUUCACUGGUUGCGGCGGGUGGCUGACGAGUUUACUUUGAGAAAAUCAGAGUGCUCAACACAGGCGUCUAGCUUGAAUGAUUGUGCAUGGAAUAAUAGAAAAGGAUUUCGGUCCUCUUUUAUUGGUUUUGUGGACUGAGAUAAUGGUUAACAGGGACAAACGGGGGGCAUUCGUAUCGAUGCGUGAGAGGUGAAAUUCUUGGGACCGUAUCGAAGACGCCCUACAGCGAAAAGCAUUUUGCCGAAGAAUG